CGUGGCAGCAGUGCAGUAGGUCAGGAGCUUCAGUUAAUGUUCACAUCAAACAUCAGAGUGGUGACAAAAUGUGAUCUUGACCUUGGCAUGACUGCUGGUACCAGAUGGCCUGGUUGGAGUAUUUGAGAAAACAGCCCAUCAAUUUUCACACACUGUGGGGUCACGGGGGGCUGGAGCCUAUCCAUGCUGACACUGGAGGAAUUAUCAGUCCAUCACAGGGCUGACAUAUAUACACACCUGGGGGCAAUUUAGACUGACCAAUUAACCUAACCUGCAUGUCUUUGGCCUAUGGGAGGAAGCUGGAGUACCUGGAGAGAACCCACGCAGGCACAGCGCCCCAACCAGUGAUGCCAAUACACUGAAGAACGUAGAUGCCAAACUGACAGAUGUACACGAAGAAGAAGACAAAGAAUCUGAAUGAGCU